GAUGAACGCUGGCGGCGUGCUUAACACAUGCAAGUCGAACGGAAAGGCCCAAGCUUGCUUGGGUACUCGAGUGGCGAACGGGUGAGUAACACGUGGGUAAUCUGCCCUUCACUUCGGGAUAAGCCUUGGAAACUGGGUCUAAUACCGGAUAGGACCACAUUUUGGAUGGUGUGGUGGAGAGUUUUUCGGUGUGGGAUGAGCUCGCGGCCUAUCAGCUUGUUGGUGGGGUAAUGGCCUACCAAGGCGUCGACGGGUAGCCGGCCUGAGAGGGUGUACGGCCACAUUGGGACUGAGAUACGGCCCAGACUCCUACGGGAGGCAGAAGUGGGGAAUAUUGCACAAUGGGCGGAAGCCUGAUGCAGCGACGCCGCGUGGGGGAUGACGGCCUUCGGGUUGUAAACUCCUUUCGCUAGGGACGAAGCGCAAGUGACGGUAACUGGAGAAGAAGCACCGGCUAACUACGUG
rnacentral:rRNA from 1 species